rnacentral:misc_RNA from 1 species
CAACCCUACCAUUUGGUGAGUGGUGAGUUUUUAUUAGCUGCUGCUGUUUGUCUGUGCCAGAAAUAAUUAAAUAAAAUAUUUAUAAAAAACGUUUAAAAUACAUUAAAUCAACAUAUUACCCGAAAAAAUCUGAAAUAUUAGGUGGCUUUUAAAUAUCGGGGAAACAGGUUACAGUUAUAUCGUGGGAUUACCAAAUUCUGCUAUAUUAAUAUACAAUUUUGAAGGUUUACAUCGCUUAAAUUUAUGAACAAGAAAUUGUCAAAAUCUAGACACGGUAUAUGGGAAAUAUUUAAGUGACACCAACAAUCUCUAUUGAAUUACCGAACCUUAAGGUAAGAGGUUUAAACUUUCUUGUCCUUCCAAUAUUUUUUAAUAAUUUCAAUAUUAUUAAUGUAUAAUUAAAACGUUUGAUUUUUUAUGUUUCAUUCAAAUUAUUUUAAAUGGACGAUUUCGAUAUAUGGAUGAAUUUAUAAAAAAAUCUGCAUUAUUCCUCCAUGAUCUCAAUGCCUUAUCAAAUUAAUACGAGAAAAAUGUUUUUUGGCUGCACCAAAUCUAUAAUAUCCUUUACAGAUAAGUACAAAAUAUACUUGAUUUUGAUCGGUCUGUUUGUAUGACAGCUACUUAUACUAAGCUACAGUGGUCCCACUGAGAUGCUAUCUUCUUGGACAUCAAUCCAUAAUAAAUUUGAUGAAUUGAUUAUUUCGUUAGUUUAUAUGAUAGCUAUAAGUAUGUAUGUUAUAAUAGUCCAAUAUAAAUAAUUUCUUCGGAGUUUGUACCAGAACUUUAAAUAAUAAUCCGUGCCAAAUAUUUAUGAGAUAUCUCAUCAAAUAAAAUAGUUUUCGAUAUAUUUUAUACGGUCUCCGACGUUUCCUUCUGAAUGUUACAACUUCGGUCCAAGUUUAAAAUACAUUUUCGUUUAAAUAAAUAGUGUUUGUACUACCCUGCCUACAAUUUCAUAUUUUAAUUUUCUCUCUUUGUAAUCUAAUCAGCUACAGCCAAUAUCAGUUGUUCAGCACUUUUCAAGGACCCUCAAAAGAUUUAAAAUUAACACCUACUAUUUGCAU